rnacentral:ncRNA from 3 species
CGCUGAACUUAAGCAUAUCAAUAAGC